rnacentral:rRNA from 1 species
GACGAACGCUGGCGGCGUGCUUAACACAUGCAAGUCGAACGAAGUGGCGAACGGGUGAGUAAUACGUGGGUAACCUGCCCUCCUCUUUGGGAUAAGCCUUGGAAACGGGGUCUAAUACCGAAUAAAGGGGGAGGGGCUCUCGGCCGAUCAGCUGGCUGUGGGGGUGAUGGCCUACCAAGGCGGUGACGGGUAGCCGGCCUGUGAGGGUGACCGGCCACAUUGGGACUGAGAUACGGCCCAGACACCUACGAGAGGGAGCAGUGGGGGAUAUGGCACAAUGGUCGAAGGCCUGCUGCGGGGGAGCCGCGUGGGGGUUGAAGGCGUUCGGGUUGUAAACCUCUUUCGCUCUCGAACUGGUAGGUAGAGAGGAAGCGCCGGCUAACUACGUGCCAGCAGCCGCGGUAAUUC